GCAUAUCUGCACUUACGAGCUUAUAAUUCAUGAGAUCUUUCACUUCAGUCUCCCAGACAAGGAUAACUGAUCCCCGAUUCUUACUAAGCAACAUGCUGUGCACUUUAAAACUACAUCGAUGUCAAAAUUUCAGGAAAAAAAAAAAACUUUCAAAGAACUUUACAAUAUUGCGAUUCCUUCAUAGACUCAAAUCCUGUCAUCACACAAUUCAUCUUGACACAUGGACUUCAAAGCUGUAGAUUUUGUUAGAUACAAAAUGGUAAUUCCAGUCACAGUAGCUUUGUCUUAUUUAGCGUCUGAUUUCUAGUUGUUAGCGUCUGAUUUCUAGUUGCUCUAGAUGGCGAGGUUCUAGUUCAGGUUGAGCCAGUAGGCCAGCUCAGGUCCCAGAGGGGUUUAUUGCUAUCCCAGUGCUUCAAAAUGCCUUGGUCCGUAUGAUUGGUCUUAUGGAGAGCAUGGCUCAGGCAAAUGUACUUCCUAUGGCACCAACUACUUCUCGGGCUGGGGGAGGAGCGCAAACUCCCGCUACUCGCAUUGAGGCAGAUGACUCAGGGAUAUCAGACCCUAGGAGCAUUUCCGGUUGGGGUGGUUCAACCUAUUGUUGCAGCACAGCCGCGAGAGGGUAUUAAUAAGGCAUUAUACAAUUGUCCUUACUUAAAGGAAGUUAGAAGAUUUUUUCUUGCUGCAGUCAAUCAAGGAUCGUCACAGAAAUCAACAAAGCCUUCUGAAAAAAGGUAUACUGCGGUCUCCAUGAGGCAUAUUACCAUUAGACGCUCUUCUUCACUGGAUUCUUCCGCAUAGAGUCCUUCAAAAGUCAUUGUCAGAUCAGAGCAGCUUAGGGAUUGUAUGAGGAGACCAUCUUUGCAGCACAUCAGAAAAGUUCUCAACCUUGUUGGGCAAAUACAUGCACAAUAUGCAAAAAGAAGCUAGUUUCAGAGAGGAGUAAUUGGUUCUGACUAGCUUCUUAUGCCCAAUCUCUAUUUUUUUGAAAUGAGAGAGUUUUAGUGUUUCCAUAUAUCUUAUCAGUUCCAAGCUUCAUCUUAGAAAAUACAGAUAAAACAGGUUUGCCUUCUCAUUCAACCUCUGCAGGGGCAUUUAAACUUGCAAAUGCUUUGGAUUUUCUCAUCCUUCUUUGAAAGGUUCAAAUCCGAAAGGCUAUGGGGUAGUGAUCACCUAGAGCAUAAAGAGCCAGAACUAGGCAGCAGAAUGAAGGCAGAAUUACCAUUUAGAACAAGAUAAUUUUUUUCUUCGUAUCAUCUUAUGCUGAAAGAUGAAAGCCCAUAGAUCUCGCACUUAUUAGAACGAAAAGUGAAGAAGUCAAGAACCCAAGAUACACAAACUAUCAUGUAUGAUCGUCAAUUGAUACCUAAUUAUAUAGUUGCUUUCUAGUGCUGAGUGACACUAUGGAAUAAAACAAAUUCAGACUCAGAAAUUUUGUAAGCAUACGUAUGUACUUUUCCUUGUCUACUGAUUUGCACCAUGUGAACACAAGUCAACAAUUAUGAUAAAAAGCCUAGAGAGUAAGAAAGCCAACAGCUUAUACCAAAUGAAUAAGUACAAAGAAAAAACUCUGUUGUCCCAAUCUGAGUACAUUUCUCAGGAGAAUCUACUUCUUUACACCAAGAGUCAAGCCAAGGUUUUGAAACAGUGUACAGUACUCAAUCGCCUAGAGGCACAUUAAUUCUUCAGAAAUAUGCUGAGAUAGCUACCUUAGUGUAGUAGUUUGAAGACCUUACCUUAUGUUUAGAUGCUCUCCUAACCUGAGAGUGUAGUAGUUUGAAGACCUUCCCUAACUCAAACAAAAUGAGCUUCCUCAUUCCUCAUCACAAUUUUAGAGCAAUUUCUAAGUUCAAUUUCAUUUUUAGAAACCGUUGCCCUCCUUUGUAUAGUCUCAGAUGCUGCUAGAGAUAUACAUAACAAACAGAUGUCAAAGUAAUACAAAAUCUUUCCUUCAUUUUUUUUAAAAAUAAAUAUCAAAGUUAUAUAGAUAAUGAACGAUAGUAGCCCCACAAACUAGCAUUUUUACACGGACUAGUCUUAUUCCGUAAGAUUCUCGUGCUGAAACGUCUUACGGAUUGAGACUAGAACAUGAUCUCCCAAUGCCGGUACCAAAGCAGUCCAAAUGCCUCAACUUCAACAGCAAAAACAGCACAAUACCGCACCCAAAUCCCAGUGCAGCGCUGGACCCUGUCAAUGAGACAGCAGCACAAACCAACAUCACAAAAGAUUCUUCCUUCGAAUUCAUAACCCUUGACGCCAUAGCCAAUUCAAUCCCAGCAAAUAACAAAAGCACCCCAAGUAUCCCAAUAGGAAACUGACUCAAAAUCCUCACAAACGAGCUCCCAAAUACAAGUCCAAGAACCAAUUUCCCCAAUCCAAGAAAAGCCACUGAAGCCCCACUCCUCCCACCAAAUCUAUACUGUCCAGCUAAUCCUCCUGCCCCGUGGCAACACGGCAUUGCUCCAAACCAACAGCCUACCAAAUUCAUUAACCCAACACUCACUGAAACUCUUGUAGCUGACACUUCCUUUUCUGGGAACAAAUCAGCUGACAGUUUACACACUGCGAUCACGGAAUUUAAUACGGAUAACGGAAUCUGUGGAAUCGCGCCCCUUAAAAAACCGGUUUUCCAGUCUUCCCACGUGAUUUUUAAAACAUGAAUCUUUGACGGGCCAAAUUUAAUAUCACCAAUAAUUGAAGGAUCGCGCACGAAACAGAGGAUCAACCCCAGCAAAAACACAAUAAGAGCUGCUGGAAUUGCUGAUAGUGUACGUAAUCUGCGCCGAACUCUGGGUUGAUUACAGUCGUUGGUUACAAUAAUUCUGUCUUCCUCGUCGUCCUCAACAACUUCACCGGAGCCGGUGACUAGUAUAAGAAAAGAUACAGCACUGAGAGCCAAAAUAAGGCCGUCAAGACCAAGCCACGGACGUGGGGUUGUACUGCUGGCUUUAGUAGUGGCCGUAAAGUCUUGAUCAUAGCGUAUGUAUUUAAUAGCAGAGAAGGCAAAAGCGAGGCCUUGAGAGAGCUGAACGCCGCGAACAACAGGGAGCGGAAUAAACCGGUAGAAAAAGGACAUAAGGCCAGUGGCUCCAAGGAAGAGAAGGGUGGAUGCGGUGGAGAUACCAGCGGCGGCGAUUUGAGGAACAGUAAGAUGAGGUGUUUCAGAGACGGCGACGGCAGCGAUGGAUUUCAUGGGUUGAACAGGCAUCGGAAUUCCGAAGAGAGCGCCAGUGAUGAUGUUGUAAAAUGCAGUGAAGAUAAGGGUAGUGCUGAGGUCGAGAUGGGAGACUAAGGUUAGUGUUAGAACAAUGGGGAUGUAAGUGCCUAAGUCGCCGACAGAACCGCCGAGUUCGGAGAGGAGGGAGGUUUUGAGACGGAGUGAAGUGGUGAAUGGAAGGGUGGAAAGGUGGCUGCGCCACCAGCUGCGACGGAGGAGGGGAGUUGUAUGGUCAGAAGUUUGCUCAGCCAUUUUUGCCUGUGGAAGUGGCCAGGGGAGGACUGAUCACAGAUGUGAUAUGAACUUAUGAAGGUGGCGCGCACGCAAUUAAACGGAAAAUGACAGGCUUUUUCUAAUAACAACUAGGGAAGGUUGGAAUAUUAGGAGUAUAUACUAUAUAUAUAUAUAUUACAUUACAUUGCAACUAUUAAUAAGGGAGAAUGCUUCCGGUCAAAGUGAAUUGACUGAAAAACUCAAAUUAUCUCCUGUCAUCCUCCUUGCCUAUCUGGGGCAAUUUUGACAUUUAAGUCGAAUGUGCUUUAACGCCAUAUAUUUUAUUGUCUGCCUUUAUUUAUUUGACUAGACAAAAUACUGAAACAGUGGUCCCCUUUAAUUUGUCAUAUUUACACGUUCAGCAAGCUGAGGGCUAUUAUGAUUCAUGGCCCCACUAUCAUUUCACACUAAUUUUACAAUUUACGUUCUUAUGCGCAUGUUUAGAUUAAUGAGUAAAAUCCACUUAAAUUUAUCAUCUCACAUCCAACUCCACCUUAAAUCAACAACAAUAUGCCCAAUAUAUUUUUACAGUAUACAAUUUAAAAAGAAUAAUGUAUACUUAGAUCUUACGCUUACCUCGCAAAAAUAAAAAAACUAUUUCAGAAAGACUCUCAGCUCAAAAGAAGCAAAAUUUACAUCAUGUUUGAAAAAUAAAAUUUCCCUUAAAUGAGUAUACUAAUUAUGUAAUGUUUAAAUUGUGUAUAUAGUUUUUUCUCUUACUUUAUAGUUUAAAAGCGAGUAACAUUUUCUGUCUUAAUAUUCUAUUUGAUAUUAAAAAUAAGAAUAAACAGAAUAUUAACUACUAUAAUCAAGCAAAAUACAAAUUAUUUUACAAAAGGCUAAUCCUUAAAUAUUGCUACGCCAUCUCAAACCAAAACAUUGAGUUACUUUUAUUAAUUGUUAAUUAAGCUAUUCUCAUUUACAAAAUAACUUGCUCCGACUUAAUGUAAAAUACUAAUUAUAAAUUUAUGUAUAUAUAUAUAUAUAAAAGAUGAAUUGAGUAAUCUAAUUAAGAAAUAAUACAGACUCAAAUUAGAACUCACAGCAUCGCUUGAAAUGCAUUAAUUUCACCAUUUGAAUCUUCGUGAUUAUUUUGAAUAUUAAGUGAACAUUUCAAGGUGCAAUUGUUUAAAAGAAGAUAUCUCAUCUUAUUUAAUACUAUUAACAAGUGAAUUAUAGAAAAAUAUAAAUUUUUUGGUUAUUCACAAGUUAACGAGGUUUAAAUAAAUUAGGAACUUUUUUCUUAAAUUUAACAUGCUCAGAAAUUACCAAAAUGUGUUGCCUAUGAAUUUUUGUGCUACUAAUAAGCCUACUUAUUAUUUUACUAAAAAAAGAUAUAUUGUAACUUUCAUAUUAGAAUAUGAGGAAAAAACAACACACAACGACAAAGAAAAGCAAGUUGAUGAAAUAUUGGGACCAUUUUACUCCUUUUUCCUCUAUGUUUAAUUCUAAUAAAAUAAUUUUAAUCAUAUAGUUAACUCGGAAACAAAAUAGUUUUUCUUGACUAAAGAUACAUAUGAAAUUUCUAUCUUUAAAUAUAUUAUUUAAAUUUACAUGAAUGAUCUUUAUAAAAUAAUUGGAAUAAUACAAUUAAGAAUAUUAUCUUUGUAAUUAUGUGUUAGCAUGGGCCAUCCCACGUCUAGUUACAGGUACAAACCAUAAGAUUUACACCUUUAGCUUUUGAGUCCGAUAAAUUAAUUCUUUGAGCUAAUGCUUUUUGGUGGUUCUCAAUAUUCUGAAACAUUUACUGAUAUUAAUCGUUCUCACAGUCGUGAACUCUUAAUUGUACAUGCAACUCCAUAAAAAGAAUCUAAUUACGCUCAAAAUUUUGAAAAUGAGAAGAAAACAGAAAGUUACUAAGCAAAACGUGACAUUAAAAUUUAAGAGAGUUAAUUUUCUAACCCAUUCAAAAUUCCAACCACGAUUAAUAAUAUAAUAUAUAUAUAUUAAUAUAUAAUAUAGUAGUAUAUAUUAUAUUUAUAUAUUUGUUUAAUAACAAGGAAGCCAGGUAGCUUAUAGCCUAUAGUCUUUAAUCAUCUUUCUCUUUUUAACUUGUGAGGAAUGUUUCUCUGCUAUUAGAUAUGUGAAAAGCCGUUGAUAUUAAUUCAUUCCCAUCUUUGAUAGUUGUUGAUGUUGAUCGAGAAAAGCAUAAAUAAAUAUCUUAUUCAAUGUCUAUAGCUGCAAAUACGUUAGGCCAACUGGACAAUUUAAGUCCCAGAUAAUGAGUCUGUGAAGUAUUUAUCAAUUUCAUUUCAUUCGAAGAAUUAGCCUAAAUAGUCGUUCGUCCAACUAUUUAAAUUAAAAAUAACUCGUGUAGGUAUAAUAUAUAUAUAUAUAUAUAUAUAUAUAUAUAUAUAUAUAUAAUUUAUGUAUAUGACUAAUAAAANNNNNNNNNNNNNNNNNNNNNNNNNNNNNNNNNNNNNNNNNNNNNNNNNNNNNNNNNNNNNNNNNNNNNNNNNNNNNNNNNNNNNNNNNNNNNNNNNNNNNNNNNNNNNNNNNNNNNNNNNNNNNNNNNNNNNNNNNNNNNNNNNNNNNNNNNNNNNNNNNNNNNNNNNNNNNNNNNNNNNNNNNNNNNNNNNNNNNNNNNNNNNNNNNNNNNNNNNNNNNNNNNNNNNNNNNNNNNNNNNNNNNNNNNNNNNNNNNNNNNNNNNNNNNNNNNNNNNNNNNNNNNNNNNNNNNNNNNNNNNNNNNNNNNNNNNNNNNNNNNNNNNNNNNNNNNNNNNNNNNNNNNNNNNNNNNNNNNNNNNNNNNNNNNNNNNNNNNNNNNNNNNNNNNNNNNNNNNNNAUUGUGACUCUCCCAAUCAGCUCUUCCGUACACGAAAAAGUCAGAGCCAAGUUGGUGAAAUCGUGACUACACAAAAUCUGAAACGGUUCCCUUUUUCCCGUGGGGCUAAGGCUGGUCGCUCUUACGAAAAUCUGAAAGGUGUUGAUUUUGCAAUCAUCAAUGAGAUGCCCCCAAUGAAUUUAUUUAUUUAAUAAAGGAAAUUUACCAUAGCUAAAUCCAAGAACUAUUAAUAGAUUAUAGCUACCUUUUAAUUAAAUUGUACUUUUCUAUAUGAAACUUAAAUUAUACUUUUCUUUUUUAUUACUUAACUAUCCUAUUAUUGUGGGAAGAUAUUUAAAAGGAAUGAAGUAUUCGCUGUUUUCCUAUUAUAUAUAUUAUAUUUUAUAUAUAUAGAAGAGAGAUGAGGAGGUCGACCAAGGGCAUUAUUGUCAUUUCAAAAAUAUAACUAUUCCCUCCCUUUCAAUUUAGAUGUGGUAGUUUGACUCAGUAUGGAGUUUAAGGGAAAAAAAAGACUUUUGAAACUUGUGAUCUUAAAAUUUAAAGGGUAAAAACUUUGCGGGACUAUAAUAUUUGUGUGACUAUAAAAACUUCUCAUUAAAAAUAAAAUAAAAAAUUUAAAAUUGAAUUAUAAUAUAUUUGAAAAAAAAAAAAGGUAACUACGGAGUACAUUAUAUAACAGGCUCAACAGUUUGAUUGCCGGUUUCAAUUGACCGAAAAAAACCAAAAGCAAGGUGACCCAAACUUGAAUUCUUCUGUGGACCCCAUUUCUCAUUCUAACCUUACUAUCUUCUUUGAAUGCACUAUUUAAUUAAUGAGACUACUUCACUCACACCUUCACUGUCUAUUCUUUUUUUCAUUUAGUACUUUUAAUUAAAAAAAAUUAUCUGUUGGGUAAUUUUAUAAUUCAACGUUUAUUUGAUUAAAAACAUACAAUGGUUACAUACAUUUAUAUAUAACAAUUCUAAUGUCUCCUUCAAAAAUAUUAUUUCAAUUGUUUUAGGCAAAAUACAUAACUUACCACAUGAACUAUGGACUAAAUUUUCAUUACAGAUUUUUUGCGGACGAAAAUUAUUUUACAUACUCAAACUUUUUAAAAUGUGUCUAAGACACACUUCCUUUACAACGUGGCAUGCGCGUGCUUAACAAAAAAUGAAAGCGCGUUCACCUGUUAAUUUGUUAUUCCAAUCCUUAUUUAGAUGACAUAUAUUAAAGUUUGAUUUUUUUCUUUCUUUUUAACAUUAUUGGUUCCUCUUUACCCCCCCCCCCUCCCCCAAACCCACCCUUCUUCCUCAUCUCACACCAUUUUCUUUUCUUAAAAAAUUAUAGCCAUUUAUUAAUUCCCAUACAACCAUACUAUCUGAAAUUCUUUUAAAUUGUUCAAUUCAUUUGAAUUAUUUCUCUCAAAGAUCUCUAGUAUUUUGGUUCUUUAUCUUCAGAUUUUUCCCAUUCAGUUUUCUUUUUCGGUUUGUUUUAAGAUUCAACUUUUUGUCUUCUUUCCCACAAUGUCUAUGUUCCCAACUUUCAGAAAUUGAUAAACAUAGCUAAAUGAUCGAGAAAAAUUACAGAGCCUCAUUGCCUUCUUCUCCUUUUCAUUCUCCACCCAUCUUCUCUUUAUUCGGCGCCACCAUGAACUGUGGCAUAUCAAAGGUUGGGUCGAGUUUCCAAUCACAUUUUCACGGUGAAUUGCAAUGUGAAGUUCACGAAUUUGUUAAGUUUUUAUCUUGAUUGUUUUUCAUUAUUUUCUCCUAUUUUUAUUUUCAAGUAGUCUUUGUGAGAUUUAAGUGGGUAUUCAAAUUAAUUAGAAAUAGGUUAUUAGGCGUUUUUGAAGUGAAAUAAUCUGUUUGAUUAUUGUAAAUGAGCUAUUUGACUUUAAAAAUUUACUUGGGCUCCUAAAUUUUUUGUUCAAUCUGAAGGUGGCGUGUUCUGGUUUCCUUCUGUCAGAGAAGACGCCUUGUAAAAGAGAAAGAUAUGAGAAUUGCUAAGGGGUAUAACUGUUUUAUUUUUAAAAACAUUUAAUAACAUGUGUCACGAUCUUAUUGGUGCGUGAAUUUACACAUUAUGAGAAAUUGGUAAAGAAAAAAGUGGUGUGUCUUAGACACAUUUUGAAAAGGUUGAGUGUGUAAAGUAAUUUUCGUCCGCAAAAAAUGUGUAACAUGGAUUUGGUCCAUAGUUCAGGUGGUAACUUAUGUAUUUUGCCUUUGUUUUAUUUGUUGACUAUUUUAGGUAAAGACUAUUUUUUUAAAAAAAAAAAUAGCAAUAAAUUAUGUAAAUUUUUAUUAAGGUGUUCUUAUACUAGUAUCAAUUGAUAUAAUUUUAUACAAGUUCUCAUUAAAUUGCAAUUUUAAUUGGAAUACUUUAUAAAAUUAGGAAUAAAUAUUUAAGAUGUGAUAUGAACUUAUGAAGGUGGCGCGCACGCAAUUAAACGGAAAAUGACAGACUUUUGCUAAUAAUAACUGGGGAAGGUUGGAAUAUUAGGAGUAUGCUAUAUUACACAUACCAUAAGAUUUUAGUUAACUAGUAUUAAUAUACGCGCGUUGCGCGUGUAUCCUGUAUAAAUGAGAAAUAUUUUAUUAAAAUAACAUAAUUAAUUAUUCGAAAAAUGUAUUUGUGUUACAUCUCUUUAUUUUCACUGUCUUGAUUCGGUUCUGAAGUCAGAGAAUUUGAUAGCCUGUGUUCUUAGAUAAUGAAGGUAAUGAUUGUUGCUUGAACCUCUAUAAGAAGUUAAAGCAAUUCUUUC
rnacentral:lncRNA from 1 species